UGAUAUAUGAGUUUGAUGAACAGUAGUUAUUGUGUCAGUUUCUGGCUGGAAAUUAUUCUUUGUUAAAGAAGUUGAAAUACAUUACCUGAUUAAAUGUGGUAAUGUCAGGUGCUGAAAGUUUCUUGAGAAAUUCACAUCCGGAAGGGAGGAGUCCAAUCAAAAGAAAUAUGAGAUAUUGAAAAAAACGUCAUUGGUUUCUGCUGAUGGAUGCAAGAUCAAUUGUUUGAGAUAAAACAACAAACACCAGAAUCAAACUCCAGUUUUUAAAUUUUGCAUGCACAGACUGGUCCCAUGAAUGGCUUCACCAUUACACAGGGUGUCCCUGUAAAAAUAUACUCACUCUUUAAAUAACAAUAAAUGCAUUGUUUAUUGACUUAGGAACAAGAUUAAUAGCUAAAUGCAUAAACAGCUAAAUGCAUGUUUAUAAAUGUUUAAACUGAUGGCCACUGCUUUCCAAACACAGCUGAUAACACGGACCAAUGAAUCCAACAGUGUUAUAUAUGUGUGGCAGCAGACUUUGGCUCCUCACCUUUUACCCCCAGAAAGAGUCAGAAGUGAUUGUCAGAGAAUUUUUAUGACUUCACCAGCCCCAAUUUCUGGCCUCCUAAUUUCCCCAAUCGUAAUCCCAUGGAUUACUAUGUGUUGGGUACACCAACUGCUCUGCCUGCAACAGGAAGACCAAGCUGGUGACCCAACACAAGGAAAUGUAUUAAGAUCUUCCAAGGACACAGAGAGGAACGCAUGAACCAGGUUCCGGAGCCAUCUUGAGGCCAUUAUGAAAGCUGAGAACAGCUACUUUGAAUAAACUGUUAUUUCUCAGCCAAAAUCUUGUUGGUAUGUUUCGAUUUUUUAAAAUACUGUUAUUUUUCGAUGUGAAAUUGUGUUUUCUUUUCCUUUCAUGCAAACUGACAAAUUCAGGCCAAACACUUUGUAUACA